ACAACACAAGUGACUUUGACACUACACUUUCACCCAAAAUCUUAAGGCGUUAGGUUUACGGGUCAUCUCAUUUAUACAAUGCUCAACAUUAACUCUCCCAACCAAUAUGAGACAUAACUUACACUUAAUAGAUCUCAACAAUAUGUCUCACAAAUUUCCUGAUCGCAAUUCGUCAUUGCUAAACAACCGUAGAAACUUUGUACUAUAACUCUAUAAGUGAUUGUCAUUUUCACCUCAGCAUAUUCAAAGCAAGAGUAACACAAUUCACAUCAGAUGUCAAUUUCGUGCAAAAGGAAAGAAGUAUAAGCGAAGCAGAAAAAAGCAGAGAGAUGAAUUGAAUGCUUGUGUAUAUUUGAUUAGCUUCCAAAGUAAUACGGCUAGGUAUCUUUGUAGGACAUUAACCAUUCCCCCCCAGAAACUUACAGUAUUAUAUGGGCCCAAUUUAUCACCAUAUUGGUGAGACAUAUAAAUUAGGUCAUGUGCAUGGUUCAAUAGAUGCUACUACUCAUUUAUUUGAGAAACCACCAAACAAAAACCUUAGAAAAUGCGACAGCAACUGCGACAGUAACAUUAAUGUUUUUUGUGUCGUAAGCACCUAAUUAAAGUUACGUUAUGUGGUUAAUGAACUUUAGUUAAAGAUAGAUAGUUAGACAGAGUCGGAGUUUGAAUUCGAACCGAAACAAUUAUUGAUAAAACUUUAUUUAACUUGAGAAAGGGAGGAUUAAUAAGAAGGGCAAUUAUUGAUAAAACUUUAUUUAACUUGAGAAAGGGAGGAUUAAUAAGAAGGGAAAAAAGUUUUGGAAGUUUUUGUUAAGAAGUCUCACAUCGGUUGUAAGAUGACCUGAAUAUAUAUUUAUAAAGU
rnacentral:lncRNA from 1 species